UACUUAUUACCCUCACCAUUAAGGUAAUUGGGUUUCAGGUUAGGGUAUGGUUUUAUUCUCAUCCUUGAAGGAUGCACUGAAGAGAUACCUGAAGUCGUGGGCUUCGUCAGACUCCUUUUCCUAUGCACACAUUUGUAUGAGGAAGUUUAAUUUGUGAGUGAGGCACAGUAAGAGACGAGCAACAAUAACACAGUUAUCAUCUCUAAAUGGUACUGGACUAACGGUCUUAGGAAGCUUAUGGUUUUCCCCCCAUAUAAAAAUUGCCAGCAUCUCAUGUUUGAAAGACAACAUCAGGUAUAAAAAAGAGCACUGUGUUGUCACAGGUAACCCAACAACUGAGAUGGCUACUAGAGGACUAGCGGGUGGAUAGACUCACAACAUGGAUUCACCUCGUGAAAGGAUGAUUCUUAUCUCGUCAGAGCCCAGAGAGAGAGAGAGAGAGAGAGAGAGAGAGAGUGCAUGAGUUCGUGCUGUCCUUAGGCAAGAGCACAUGCAAAACUUACCAGUUACUUUUUUGCCUGACUUUUUAUUUAAUACUUUUGAAUUUGAAUCAUGAUUGACCACUGGUGGCUAAAGCCACAGAAAACCAAACCACAGACAAAUGGGGAAUGCUGUCUCCACUGCAGACGUCAGUCAGGUGCUCCUUGCGGUCCUGUUUAAGCAUCAGUUAGGAGGGCCAAACAGCUGGAUACUACUUUAUGGUUGGAUGUUUAUGAAGCCUUCUAACAUGGCUACCUCAUAACUCAUUUUUAGAGGACAGGAGAUGGUUUGGUAGGGUUUUGUUGUUGUUGUUUUGUUUGUUUUUGCUUUUUUCUCCUUGCUGAUAGUGUCUGGCCUCACCUUCUGCAAGGUGGCGUUCGUCUCACAGGAAAUCGACUCUGUGCAGACGUCAUCAUCCUCUACGGUGUUAAGCAUCCUCAGUGCUUCACCCGGGACAGCAUCUUCACCCCGGACAGCAUCUUCACCCGGGACAGCAUCUUCACCCGGGACAGCAUCUUCACCCGGGACAGCAUCUUCACCAGGGACAGCAUCUUCACCCGGGACAUCUCUCCUGGCCCAGAGUCUCUUCCUGUGCUUCUGGAAAACCGAUUACCAAAGUGUUUCCUGGAUUGGGAGACUGGAUGAUUAUUUGGAAAGAAAAGUCAUCAUUCUGUGGAGUAAAGGAAUAGAGAAGAAGUAAGAAACCAGCCUGUCGUACAUCUGCUCAACUGAAAGAAAGGUAUAAACUCCUGCGGCAAGAUGGGAGGUGGAGACAGAAGAGCCAUCUGGAAUCUCCGAGGCCAUGUAGCUUGCAGGUUAUAGCAUGGCAGAGGUGGGAGAGGCUGCCUCACCACAAGGGGCGGGAGAGUCUGGGUUCAUAAGAGCCGCCCCCUGACUUCCAUGCACAUACCACAGUGACCCCAGUCUGGCACACAUUCACCAAACGUGCACAGCAGUGGACGGAUGAACUGGAAAUACCCAGAUACCACACUCACUAAUCUGACCAUACAACUUUACCUUUAUGAUACCUGUGAAAAAUUCAGAACCCUAAAAAACAGCUUUCCUGGUUUUGUACCGCUUUAACAUAACAUUUCUCUUCAGAUUUAUUUAUUUUAUGUGUAUCAAUGUUUAGGCUGCUCGAAAGGGGGUUCACCAUAUGCACACCUGGUGGUGUUCUCAGAGGGUCAGAAGAGGACAUCAGAUCCCUUCAAACUGGAGCUCUGCAUGGUGUGAGCCAUCAUUUCGGUGCUGGGAACCAAACCCAGAUCCUUUGCUUGGGCUGUGCGAUGCUUGCAUUGCAGAGAGGCUGUGGUUAAAAAUGUGACGUCCAGGGUCAAACUGCCUGGGGCUUGUCUCAGACCUGCCACUUGUGAAGAAGGCCUGAGCCAGUUGCAUGCCUUUACUCCCGGGAUUUUAUCAUCUGGAGAGCUGGACAGAUGUUUGCUGUGCCUGGGGAAGAACGUGGUCCUGUUCAGUUUAUAGUUAACGGAGUUGAAAUUACAGCAGAGGUGCAUGCAAGUGUCGUUGGCAGCACAGAGAUCGAUGGCAGCCGCGGGAGACCUCUGGGGUUCUGGUUGGUCAAGUGUUGGUUGAAGCUAAAUGUGGCUACGUCAUCAUUUCUCCGUCUUACACUCUGAGAGUGAUGAAAACGCUAUCAAUUAAAGCUUCCGGCUGAG